UGUGCCCCACACAAGGCCCCAGGGGCCCAGCCAGGCUGGCAGCUGUGGUGGGGGCAGUUGAACCCUGGAUCCUGACCACAGCAUGGCAGUUGGCAGAUGCCCCGCUGGGAGAGACCCUCAGGAGUAACGGCCAUGGCCCUGGAGGGGGCGGGGCACUGGGGGCAGCGACCAGAAAAGGCCCGGGCGGAUGAGAGGGCCAUGGCCCGGGCGCACUGGGACAGUCACUGUCAGCGAGAGGGACAGAGGCACCUGCCGACCUAACCCUCCCCACUGGACGCGUACGCCAGCAGGUCAGCCAGGGGUGCCUUUGACUCUGAGCGCAGAUGAGGCCCAGAAUAGGGCCGGUGGGCUAUGAGGCCCGCAGGGGGCAGAGCCCUGGCUUCAGGCAGCACUGGCCCCUGAUGCUGCUGGGCCUGGCCGUGGGCGCCCAUGGCCUGCUGUCCUCGACCACGGCACCUCACAGCAGGGCUCCAAGCUCUGGAGCCCCGACAAGGAGCAGCCCUAGGAGCCUGUGGGGAAGCAGGUUCCUGCUCAGGACCGGCCCCCAGGGGACAGGCCCCAGGUGCUGGCCCGGCGGGUUUUGGUCCGAUCUUCAGUCGCCGUGGUACGUCUUCAGCAGCGGGACCCAGCUCAUCGUCCUGGGUCAGCCCGCGUCCGCACCCUCGGUCACUCUGUUCCCGCCCUCCUCUGAGGAGCUCCACACCAACAAGGCCACGCUGGUGUGUCUCAUCAGCGGCUUCUACCCGGGCAGCGUGACGGUGGCCUGGAAGGCCAACGGCAACCCCGUCAGCCAGGGCGUGGAGACCACCAAGCCCUGGAGACAGAGCAACAACAAGUACGCGGCCAGCAGCUACCUGAGCCUGACGCCCGACAAGUGGAAAUCUGGCGGCAGCUACAGCUGCCAGGUCACGCACGAGGGGGGCACCGUGGAGAAGACCGUGGUCCCCGCGGAGUGUUCCUAGGGCCCUGAGCCCCCCACCCUCGGGGGCUGGAGCCUGGGCACCUCUGGGAGGGUCUUUCCUUCCACCUGAGUCAUCCCCAGCCCCAGCCCGGCUCCCUGAACCCCAUCAAUUCUCAAAACGUUCUAGUCAAUCAGAACCCAUGCUCUCUGCUCAUUCUUGUCUAGUCUCGUAUUUAACCUGUGGCUUCCCCUGG